CAAUAGCGUAUAUUAAAGUUGUUGCAGUUAAAAAGCUCGUAGUUGGAUUUCUGGUGGGAGCGAUCGGUCUGGCGCUUAGCGCGAGUACUUGCAUCGUCUCCGGCCAUCCUUGGGGAGAGUCUGUCUGGCAUUAGGUUGUCGGGCAGAGGAUCCUCAUCGUUUACUGUGAAAAAAUUAGAGUGUUCAAAGCAGGCUUAUGCCGUUGAAUAUAUUAGCAUGGAAUAAUAAGAUAGGACUUUGGUACUAUUUUGUUGGUUUGCGCACCAAAGUAAUGAUUAAUAGGGACAGUUGGGGGUAUUCGUAUUCCGUUGUCAGAGGUGAAAUUCUUGGAUUUACGGAAGACAACUACUGCGAAAGCAUUUACCAAGGAUGUUUUCAUUAA
rnacentral:rRNA from 1 species